UUGUCAGGAGCAUAAUCCUCCCCUGUUCUUCCUCCUGGAGGGCAGAUAGAAAAUGAUGAUUGGAACUUGCAUUGUUUGCUGAUUAGCAUUUCCUUGUAACCAGGACCCGACAACAUCUGGUUGCUCCUGUCUGAU
rnacentral:snoRNA from 1 species